rnacentral:rRNA from 1 species
GCAGCAGUGGGGAAUAUUGGACCAAUGGGCGCAAGCCUGAUCCAGCCAUACCGCGUGGGUGAAGAAGGCCUUCGGGUUGUAAAGCCCUUUUGUUGGGAAAGAAAAGCAUUCGGUUAAUACCCGGGUGUUCUGACGGUACCCAAAGAAUAAGCACCGGCUAACUUCGUGCCAGCAGCCGCGGUAAUACGAAGGGUGCAAGCGUUACUCGGAAUUACUGGGCGUAAAGCGUGCGUAGGUGGUGGUUUAAGUCCGUUGUGAAAGCCCUGGGCUCAACCUGGGAAUUGCAGUGGAUACUGGAUCACUAGAGUGUGGUAGAGGAUAGUGGAAUUUCCGGUGUAGCAGUGAAAUGCGUAGAGAUCGGAAGGAACAUCUGUGGCGAAGGCGACUAUCUGGGCCAACACUGACACUGAGGCACGAAAGCGUGGGGAGCAAACAGGAUUAGAUAC